AUAUUAAUCAUAUUCAUCAUAUAAAAUAUUAUUAUUCUAAUACCUGGUCCUUUCGUACUAAGAUAUUAUAGUUUAUUAAAGAUAGAAACCAACCUGGCUUACGCCGGUUUGAACUCAGAUCAUGUAAGAAUUUAAAAGUCGAACAGACUUAAUAUUUAAGCGGCUACACCUAAAAAUAUAUCUUAAUCCAACAUCGAGGUCGCAAACUUUUUUAUCGAUAUGAACUCUCCAAAAAAAUUACGCUGUUAUCCCUAAAGUAACUUAAUCUUAUAAUCACUACUAAUGGAUCAAUAAAUCAUAAAUUAAUGAUUUUUAAUAAUUAAAAGUUCAUUAAAUUUUAACAUCACCCCAACAAAAUACUUUAAACUAUAAAAAUAAAACCAAUCUAAAAAAUUUAAACAACAUAAAGUAUAAAGAUUUAUAGGGUCUUCUCGUCUUUUAAUUAAAUUUUAGCUUUUUGACUAAAAUAUAAAAUUCUAUUAUAAAUUUAUAUGAAACAGCUUAUACCUCG
rnacentral:rRNA from 1 species